rnacentral:lncRNA from 1 species
UACUGUACUGUACCGUACUGUACUGUACUGUACUGUACUGUACUGUACUGUACUGUACUGUACUGUACUGUACUGUACUGUACUGUACUGUACUGUACUGUACUGUACUGUACUGUACUGUACUGUAUUGUACUGUACUGUACUGUACUGUACUGUACUGUACUGUACUGUACUGUACUGUACUGUAUUGUACUGUACUGUACUGU